AAACAGGAAAUGAGGCAAUGCCCGAGGAGGAAGCCUGAUUGCAGGUCCAGCAGGGCAGCCUGGCUAAUGGGCAGUAACUAUCUGAGCUUAGCCUGAAGAUGUGCCCAGCUUGAUGUGAAGCCCAGCUCCUUCCCAACAGUGACAAGGGGCCUUCCCUCAUGCCUGACCUGAUCUUGUAUUGGACAUCAUUGCUUGAGUUAUGAAGAAACUAUUGUUUUACAGGCACUGCAGCUUUUGUUGUGAUCCCUAAGCCUCAGAAGUCCAGCCAGGUCUCGCUUUGCUGGGCAUCCUCAACAGAGGCAGGAAAUAGUGCUGGUGAGGUGCAUACAGCAGAACCAGAGCUUCAGUGUGGGACUCCUGCAAGGAAUGUGCCUGGAGAGGUGGGUGCCCUGUACCUCUGCAGUCUCUGACGGGGCAGCACCACGACGGCCGCAGUGUCCCGGGGGGGAGGUACAGCUCAGCAACAGGGGCAGUGCCUCACACAGCGGGGGGAUUCAGGGGAAAACCCUCUGUGCUGUCCCUCCCACAGACAGUGACAGUUUUGGUUGUGUCAAAGGUUAAAAAGAAUAACUGAAUAUAAUGUUUCUCCACCUUUAUAAAGAAGAGCUGUGGCACAGAGCAGUUAGUGGCAACACAAGACUUCUCUAGUGAAUCAACAAUCAGAAUUCAGGUGACAGUGGUAGUCCCUGUGAUUCAGCUACGAGACCACCCAUCUUCUCUUCUGGCAAGCAUUAGUGGAAAUGUACUUCUGCCUUCCAGUGCCUGUGACCAUGGUAGUUUCCAAGGGGGAGUGUGUUGCAAUUGUUCUAGUUUUUCCAUUUCUGCUCUUCUUUCACAAGUUGCCUAUAAAAACCUGCAACACUUUUACAUUGACCAUGUUCCGGACUCUCUUGAAAACACAAUCCUGCUCUGAUUUCUGACAAAACAACCUCUUGUAGUCAGGAGUGUGUUAUGAUUUCUCCAGUGACCAGGCAGGGUUGGAGGAAGUGCGUGUCAGCAGUGAUUCCAUGCAUGCACCCGUCUUUGCUUGGUGUGCCCACUGACUGCAGGCUGGCAGGGGCAGGGACCAUCACCCCCACACUUCAUCAGGGCUUUUGGCCUUCAGUACUUCCAACCACAGCACUCAUGGGGUCCCCUUAGAAUGCUUGUUUUCAGGAGGCUUCAAUAACACAUAUUCCUCCUUUCUCAUGUGAUUUUUUAAUGCCACGAGAAACAAUGGAAUUUAUUUUACCGAAGUCUUUCCUGCUUAACUGCAAAUAAUACAAAUGCAAAAGCAUCAGGAGGAUGAUACCAUCCACGAUGUGGGAAAAGUAGUGCUGGGUCUCUACACUUCCCUUGACUCUGACAUAGUGGAGUUACCUUAAUAACCUGGUAGAUUUUCAUAAACCAUGGCCGUGUUGCAAUGACCUGCUUGU